UACUCAAAGGACCUGUGACUCUCAGGAAAUGCAUCAAAUGAGAGUGACAGGUGAAACAGUUUCAAGACAAUGGCAGGAAAAGCAUGCUGAAGAUUGAAUCAAACCUUGGCUGGAAAUAUUUGAAGGGAUCUAGCCAGUCCACAAUGAAAGCUUCGUGGCCCCCUUUGAGUCUUCUGGCAGAAAUGAUGGCGCCUGUAUUCUUUGGUUUCCCUAAACAUCACACCCUGUUUAUACGAGGCUCUUCAAUUAAGUCUGCACCCAAAGAUUCAAUAAGAGGUAAGCAAUGGACAGGAGACACCAAUCUUAAUCAGCCGAGCUCAGGUUCAUGUCCAGAGGGGAUCCUGCCAGUCCAAAGUGAACUCCUGAUGGACAUUGAAGUACUCAUGCAGAGCUUGUAUCUUCGACACCAUGCGCAUUAGAAACUCCACUGAGUGCUUUCCUUAAAGGCAGGACCCAGUGACUCAUUACUGUUGAUCGGUCGGGGGCAGGUCAUUUUUUGUUUCAUGUUUAUUCAUUUCUCCAUGGAUUACCAGCCAUAUAUAUGGACACAUGCUGUAUUCUCAAGAUCUAUGCUGUUUGGUAGGAAUAGAGAAAAUGAUAUGUUUAGUCUGUUUUCAAAUGGUAUGUCAAAUUUUCUCAUUGUCUAUCAGUAAUAUUCACUAACUUGGUUAUAUAUGAGCAUCUUUAGAUUUUUCUAUAUUUAGCGGUUGCAAAUGUAAAAUGUACGGUAAACUAUUUAUGUUCCUCAUAUUGUACUGUAUUUUUAGCGAUAAAAUACCGGCAGCUGUGGUUGCCAGGAAUUUACCGUAAAAUGUAUCUGGUCAAAAUAAAAUGCUGUAAUUUGUUAUACAAUUUCACUGUGUUUUUUACUGUCAAAGGUUUUAAUAAGGUUUAGCAUAUUUCUGUUAUUUUUACAGUUAUUUCCCAUAAUAGGGUCUAUCCUAUUACUGUUAAAUUAACAACAAAUUACU